UUUCCGUAGGUGAGCCUGCGGAAGGAUCAUUAUUGUAUAACCGAGGUGCGAGGGCCGUCGCUGACCCGAAAGGUCGUGCACGCCCGAGUGCCCUCACACACAUCCAUCUCACCCCUAUGUGCACCACCGCGUGGGUCCCCCUUUGGCUUGUUCGGAGGGGGGCUUACGUUUUCACACAAACUUUGUAUGCAGUGUAGAAUGUAUUUUUUGUUUUUGCGAUCACGCAAUCAAUACAACUUUCAACAACGGAUCUCUUGGCUCUC
rnacentral:misc_RNA from 1 species